AAGUGUUACAGCUCUUUUAGAAUUUGUCUAGCAGGCUUUCCGGUUUUUGGUGGAAAGCUCCC
rnacentral:snRNA from 1 species